UACGUAGGCAGCAAGCGUUGUUCGGAGUUACUGGGCGUAAAGGGUGUGUAGGCGGUUAUUUAAGUUUGGUGUGAAAUCUCCCGGCUCAACCGGGAGGGUGCGCCGAAUACUGAAUGACUUGGAGUGCGGGAGAGGAAAGUGGAAUUCCUGGUGUAGCGGUGAAAUGCGUAGAUAUCAGGAGGAACACCGGUGGUGUAGACGGCUUUUCUGGACCGUAACUGACGCUGAGACACGAAAAGCGUGGGUAGCAAACAGG
rnacentral:rRNA from 1 species